AUUAUUUAAGGGCAAACCUGUCGAAAGGCAGGGACGCAAAGCCAAGGGCCUAAAGAAAAAUGAAUUCAAUGGCAGCCGGUUGCAAUG
rnacentral:ncRNA from 2 species